CCAUGUUCUGGAAUCUUAGCAGGUGUGGAGUCAAGUGGGCAAUAGGGUCUAGUACUAACAUAGCUGCUUCAGCACCGGAGUCAGGAGUCUCUGGAGUUUGCUAAGAAGAUAGGCUGCAGAUCGAAAAGAUAAAGUGUACGAUGCACUGAACAUUUGUCUGUGAGUUGGGAAACAGCAGGCCAAGCAGAGCUUUCCCACCAGUAUCCAGCAGAAGCCUACACUUGAAUUUCUUAUUCCGAGUAUUGAACUCAACAUCGCACACCAAAUGUCUGGAAAUGGAAGAUAAGGGGCACAUGAGAACAGAAAGGCCAUCUCAAGUCUACCUUGCACAUCAGCAAAGCUCCCUGGAGCUGACCUUCAGAACACUUGCACUUUGUUUCUGGGCCUUGCCUAAACAGACUGCCAGUCAUUGGAACUGUGGCAGGAUGGAGAUGUUUGUGUAAAGUACGCUCGAGUUUGCUAGGCCCAAGAAGGAAACCACCGCACUAAUUUGACUCUCACUUAAACCAGAUUGAAACCAAGACCUGAAGAAUGAAAAUAUUUGACAUUAACCAUAGAUUCAUUUCAGUGAAACGUUACAACUGGAAUCAUUUUAGAGAUGGAUUGAGGCUUUUUGAAGAAGCUUAAAUGAAAUUGGACAUUUUCUCUAGUGUACAACGUGUGCCCAAGUUCUCUUUCCAUCAAAGUAUAUUAAGCAUCAUGGCAACUUCUGUUAAGCCAGCGACACAUUAUUAAUUACAUUUGGAGGUUUCAGUAACAAAUAUUGUAACAUCAUUGCCCUAUGAGAUACCUUAAAUAUCAAAAAUAGCUAUCCUUAACAAUUGUUUCUAUCCUUCGCAACUUUGCUUUUAAAAAAAAUCUUUGCUUGACUUUCAAAUCCAGUUGCUAAAAAUAAAAACGGUUCCCCCACAAAAUCAGAAUACCCAAUUAUAAAUGUAUUCGCUCUUUACAGGGGAAGGAUGGUGAGGAAGCUGGAAAGCUCACGGCUGACGUCAGAUAUCACAAUACGAGUUCAUCAUUUGUCCAAAAGACACUCAGCUGCUAAAGGAAGCCACACUUCUAAAGGGCUGUUGGAAAGAGAGUAAGUCAGGAUGUUUCCAGUGCAUGACUGCAGGGGAGUCAGAGACAGGCUAAUUACACGAGUGGCUUAAUUGUCCAUUCACCCUUAGCCCACGAC